GGCUGUUUUUGUAGUUUCUCUCUUUCCUUUCUUUGUCUCUUGCUUUCCUAAUUUGUGGUUUUAUGACUUUCUUUCAUAAUAUGCUUGUAUUCCUUUCCCUCUGUCUUUUGCAUAUUUACCAUAGGUUUCUGCUUUGUGGUUACUGUGAAGCUUAUAUAUAAUAACUUAUAUCUAUAAUAGUAUAUUUAAGUUUAAUAACAAUUUAAUUUUUAUCCCACUUUAAAGCUCAAUCUUUUUAUUCUCUACCCCUCAUGUUUUAUGUUUUUGAUGUCACAUUUUACAUUUUUUAUCUUGUGUAUUUUUUCACUAAUUAUAGUAAUCAUAGUCACAUAGUUAAUUUUCUCCUGUAAUCUUAUAAUAGCUUUGUAAGUGAUUAAUAUGCUAUCUUUACCAUAUAUUUACCUUUCCAAGGAGAUUUAUUCUUUCAUAUGUUUAGUUGCUAUUAAUUAGUGCUCUUUCUUUUCAGUGGGAAAACACUCUAAGUAUUUAGUCUUUCCUUGCUGAUUUUUGAGUCAUUGAAUCUCUGUUUACUUUUCUCAAUAGCUACAGAACACAGCCAAGAAAGUGAUAAUUUCUACUUACCUGAAGGGCAUGAAAAUAUAAUUGACUUCAUCCAUUCCUUAUGUACCUCUCUCUUUUUGAAGAUGAAAAGAACUGGAGGUUAAAACUAUGGAAGAAUUUUGUACAUGAUGAGCAUGCUAGCACUACCACAGGAUUUGUAUCAACACAUUGUGAGUCACAAAACACAGACAGAGAAAUGGAAAUAAAGACUAAAAAUGCAUGCCAUUUAGAGGAUAAAAAUAUAAGAGAACAUGAGGUCAUGCGUUUCUAUUGUGCUCAGGUAAGCCCUAAGGGUACCACACUUAUUCCAUACAGUACAGCACUCUGGCAGCCUUCCUGGGUGCUCGUGAGCCUUUGGGUCCCAGGCUUUCCUUCCCCACACCUCACUGGUAUGGCCCCAGUUGAAAGAUCCAUGAGGCCAUCUGCAGGUUCAUUCCAAGCCCUCUUCUGAAGAAAAUAGCUCCAGGAGUUCUUCAUGUGCUAUGUUACUACAGCUUGAGCCAAGUUCAAGGAAUGAAAUGAGCCUGGUCACCUCUGAUUGAACAGGGACUGUUGCCUAAGCCAGAGUCACCCAUGGGACAGGCUGGACAUGAAGAAGGC
rnacentral:lncRNA from 12 species